rnacentral:misc_RNA from 1 species
UCCGGUUUGUCACCGGCAGUCCCAUUAGAGUGCCCAACUGAAUGUGGCAACUAAUGGCAAGGGUUGCGCUCGUUGCGGGACUUAACCCAACACCUCACGGCACGAGCUGACGACAGCCGUGCAGCACCUGCACAGGCUCCCUUGCGGGUCCCUUGGCUUUCGCCGCGGUACCACCUGCAUGUCAAGUCCGGGUAAGGUUCUUCGCGUUGCAUCGAAUUAAACCACACGCUCCACCGCUUGUGCGGGCCCCCGUCAAUUCCUUUGAGUUUUAAUCUUGCGACCGUACUCCCCAGGCGGGAUGCUUAAAGCGUUAGCUGCGCCACCGAAGAGUAAACUCCCCAACAGCUAGCAUCCAUCGUUUACGGCGUGGACUAC